rnacentral:rRNA from 1 species
AGACAGCAGUCGCCGCGGUAAUACAGAGGGUGCGAGCGUUAAUCGGAUUUACUGGGCGUAAAGCGUGCGUAGGCGGCUUUUUAAGUCGGAUGUGAAAUCCCUGAGCUUAACUUAGGAAUUGCAUUCGAUACUGGGAAGCUAGAGUAUGGGAGAGGAUGGUAGAAUUCCAGGUGUAGCGGUGAAAUGCGUAGAGAUCUGGAGGAAUACCGAUGGCGAAGGCAGCCAUCUGGCCUAAUACUGACGCUGAGGUACGAAAGCAUGGGGAGCAAACAGGAUUAGAUACCCCGGUAGUCCCUGUCUCUUAUAC